UUCACCUCAUGAACAUCACUCGUCCUCCGUCAUCAUCCUUCUGUCUGUGAUUCUGCUGCUGCUGGUGUUGGUUGGAUUUAUUCACAUUGUGAAACAUGGAGCGCUCCUCUGCUUUUCCUCAAAAACACCAACUGCUGCAUCAGAAUCUGAAGGCAAUAAUCAAAUAGCUGAAGUGUGUGAAGAUGAAGCUGCAGAAGAUGAAGCCAGUGUCACGUAUUCAGUGGUUGGACCGAAAACAAGACCCAACAAAGAUGAACCUCUUUACUCCACCAUCAGCCUCAGUAAGACCAAACACACCCACAACCAUUCACCACAUUUGAUUAUAAAUGAUCCAAAUCUGAAGUAAUACUGU